AUUCAAAUUAAAACUAAAUUAUAGUGUUUUAUUUACAAUAAAAAUUUGAUUAAUAUAUAAUCUAAUUUGA
rnacentral:tRNA from 1 species